CAAGGAAUUUUGGUCAAUGGGGGCAACCCUGAACCAGCGACGCCGCGUGUGGGAUGAAAGAGCUUUGCUCUGUAAACCCACUGUCGGGAGGGAAGAAAAGUUCGGUAGCCGAACUGGGACAGUACCUCCAAAGGAAGGAUCGGCUAACUACGUGCCAGCAGCCGCGGUAAUACGUAGGAUCCAAGCGUUGUCCGGAUUUACUGGGUGUAAAGGGUGCGCAGGCGGGCUUGUGCGUCAGAGGUUAAAUCUCCCGGCUUAACUGGGAAAAUGCCUUUGAUACGGCAAGUCUUGAGUGCGAGAGAGGAUGGUAGAAUUCCUGGUGUAGCGGUGAAAUGCGUAGAUAUCAGGAGGAAUACCAGUGGCGAAGGCGGCCAUCUGGCUCGCAACUGACGCUCAGGCACGAAAGCGUGGGGAGCAAACAGGAUUAGAUACCCUGGUAGUCCACGCCCUAAACGAUGUAUGCUUGGUGUUGGUUUCGUAAGAAAUCAGUGCCGGAGGUAACCCAUUAAGCAUACCACCUGGGGAGUACGAUCGCAAGGUUG
rnacentral:rRNA from 1 species